GUUUUCUCAGGGCGAGAGGAAGGUGGAGAUUUGGCUUAUUAUUAUUAACAGCGAGGAGCUCGCUCCUGUCGCACACGCCGGGGAGAGCGGUGGGAGGAGGCAGUGCCGGGGGAGGCGGCGGCGGAGCGCGCCCCAGUACCGGGCUCCCUGCGCGGCUGCGGCGCAAACACGCGGGGCUCGGCGCAGCCCCCGCCGCGCCCUCCUGGUCCCCCAGCCCAGCCCCUCACCCUCCGCCGGGGGGAAAGUUCCGCGGGCAGCCGCCGGCGCGGCACCUCGCGGCCGGCGCCUCCCCAUCCCCAGUUCCGCGGGGGCGGCGUGGCUCCGCGGCCGCCAAAGUUGCGGCGGGGCCGGGGGGCUGCCGCCGCCGCCGGCCAUCAAGUGGCUCGUUAAGGAAAUGCAGGUGAGCGGGCUGAGAGGCGGCGGGGGCUGCGCGGGGCCCCGCGGGGGGCGCGCCCCCCGGCCCGGCCCUCUCAGCCCCUCCGGGCCGCUCGCCGCCCGCCUGUAGACGGCAGUGCUUGCACCGAGCGCCGGCGGCCGCCGCACCCGCGGCGAGAGCCGCUCCAGCGCCCCCCGCCCCGCACACACACACAGACACACACACACGCACACACGCACACCCCCACCCCUCCUCCCCACCCCUCGCUCGCUCCCUCUCUCCUCCCUCUUGUCGCUCUUUUCCUCCCUCCCUCUCUCUCUCUCUGCCGGCCUCAUCGGAGAGAGUUGCAGUUCCUUCUGGGCCUGUGUGGACUAGGGGCACAACGCGGCGCUUGACUGGCAGGAGGGGAAAGCGGAGACUCCUUCAGGUUUCCAAAGAGGUCCGAGUGGACAGCAUUAAUUAUAACAUGGGAGACAUCAGUGAAAUGAUCCAGGACAACUUCCUUAGCAUUCUUAAAUUGCUAAAGAUGUUCUGGUAUUUUGUGUGCUGUAUUAUUAAUUUCCUGAAGAAAUAGUACGGUUUCAGAAAUUCAUCUGAAGGCUUUUCUUCCAGACUCUCCAUGAAUGAUUUUUCUAUAAUGUAUGUACUUUUUUACGUAUUUAUGAGAACAUAAGAACACCAUCCUGGAAAUAUACCUUUAUGUGAACCUAUAUGGAUCUGAUGUAAUCCAUUGUCUGUUGAAGUUAAUGAGAACACAAUCCAUAAAUAACGCUUCUGAAAGACAAUGUCUACCUUCAGUAGGUAACAUAAGAUGAAUUUGUUUGUAAUAUAGUCGGAAUUACAGCAUAGUAAGUUUACUUGAGUUUCUGUGGUGGAAGAGCAGGACUUUAAUUAUUAGAAUGCAAGACCAUUGCAUUUCAUACAUGGGUACCUUCUUUGUAACUGUCUGAGUUGUCACUCUUUCCUAAAUACAAGGUGUGUAAUAGGUAAUAAUUAUAUCUGUUACUAAAUCCAAGUAAAAAUAUGUGAUUAUUAUUUUAUAGCAACCAAUAUCUGCACAUCUGUUUUUUUGGGAUAUAGUUAUGCAGUUCUGAGCUUUAUUUCUAAAUAGCCCUAUAUUAUCCAUAUGGAAAAGACCUGAAUUAAUUAAAAUAAACAAAUCUUUUAAGAUAGUUUGUUACAUACAGUGCAAUUUUUGUUGAAAAGAUUAAUUUACCCCCAUUUCUUCAAAGUGACGUGCUUAUCAGUGGUCAGUACAGGUCUAACAUGUCUGUGAGGCUUGUGAAGUAUGUGGUAAGUAUACAUGGUGGAUGAAUAUAUAAUACAAUGAAUAAUUUUUAAUGAUCUCAAAAGAAACAGUAUAAGACUGAUUUUUUUUAGAUUUGAAAAAGGCAUCGGGGCCUUUGUAUAAUAUGACUUUCAAAUUGUUCAUGGAAAUUGCUUGAUCAUGCACACUAUGUUAAGAAAUCUGCUGGGGCUCCUAAAAUGUAGCUGAUUUUUACUGUUGUAAUUGCUGGGAUAAAAAAAAAUUAGUAUUCACUUCACUCUUCACUAGACCUAAUCUUGAUCCAAAAAGUAAAUUGAAAGUAAGUUGAUCUACUGUUUGCCCAAACAGUAGUUAAACAUAUUUUAGAAAAUUUACAGUCCUGUAUAAAACAGUUGUGCAGAAGUAUUCUAGAGGUUGCAUAAGAACUGAGAUGAAUUCAAUGUUAAAGUUGUUAAUGCUCUAUUAGUAGUAGAUUUCCACUGUUCUUUUGUACAGUGUACAAGUGAUUCAGUAUAAAUACUGGAUAGGAUUCAGAAAGAAAAUGCUUUUUAAGAAGUGGUGACUGAGUGUUUCUCCUUCAAAAUAUAUUCUCACCUACAGAGCCUGGGAGACAUUGAAUUUGUCCCCUACCUGACAAAAAUCUUUAUUUUAUGCAUCAAAGUACUGCUCAAAGAAGUGAUAAAAUCUUCUGUACUGUUAACAUUUUGGAAAAAUCUUUUAUUGCAUAUUGUGCUUUGCUUGUUAUUUGAAGAAUUCGUGGGCCAGAUAAAUAUGUUUCACACAAAGAGUCUUUUUCAAAGGUUUGUCAAAAUAGCCAAGAGUCUAGUAAAAAGGUUAAAGUUUUGAUGCUUGUGGUAGGGGAGGUUUGUAUUGGUUUGGGUUUUUGCCUUUUUUUUUUAAUGUCUAGUUGAUACUUGAAGUGUGUAAGUCAACUCAUUCUCGAAUAUGAAAGAGUUUCCAUAAAUAUGAAAUGUCUAAUUUACUUUUCUCCCUGUCUCUGAGUUUAAGUGACGUUAUGAGAUAUUGGACCUUGAAUAAUACCGGCAAAAUCAAUUAAUAUUUCUUAUUACUGCUGUAAGGAUGUAAAUUAUGUUAGGAGCCUCAGCUCCUUCCUGAAAACUAUGCACAAAGAUCCAGUUCCAUAAUAUUUUUGAGAGUCUGCAAUAGUGCACUACUCUGGUGUCAAGAUGUUCUUCCAUAGUUGCAUGUUUCUAUAAAGAUAAUUUCUGUAUCCCUCCCUCUUUUUGACUUACUUAAUGUAAGCAUUUAUGACGGGAGACCCCAAAUAAGCCAUGAAGGAAAACCAGAUUUUUGGAAAAUUCAGAUAUAUAAAGAUGACUUUCAGUACAAAGCUGUGUGCAUUAACACUUUAUAAAAAGCUAUAUUAAUUUUGAAUACAUGGAAGGUUUUUCUGAUUUUAUCAUCUAUUAAAAAAAUUAUGUUUUUUCGGGCUGAAACAAAUAGAGCCCAUCUGGUCUUAAACUGAACAGGAGAAACACUACAGAGAAAGAGAGAGAGUGAGAGUACAAAAAACAAUCUAAAAUAUCCUUAACUAAUUUUUCCAAAGCAUAGUGCUUAAUUUCCUUAUUGUUUUCUUUUAUAGUAUCUGUCAGAAUUUCAAAAUUUUUGUCCUUUUAGAAAAGUAAAAUUACGACAUGCCAUUUUAAAUAUGACUAGAUGUUUUUAAAAUCUCUCUAUACAUUUCUGUGAUUUUGACCUAAAAAAUCAAUUAUGAGUUUAUUUAUUAAAAUCUGCUUUAGUUAGUUGAAAUUUUAGUUCCUCCUAAGUUUAACUCCUUCCACUUCCAUCAUGG
rnacentral:lncRNA from 1 species